UAUUGGGCCUAAAGCGUCCGUAGCCGGCCACGAAGGUUCAUCGGGAAAUCCGCCAGCUCAACUGGCGGGCGUCCGGUGAAAACCACGUGGCUUGGGACCGGAAGGCUCGAGGGGUACGUCCGGGGUAGGAGUGAAAUCCCGUAAUCCUGGACGGACCACCGAUGGCGAAAGCACCUCGAGAAGACGGAUCCGACGGUGAGGGACGAAAGCUAGGGUCUCGAACCGGAUUAGAUACCCGGGUAGUCCUAGCUGUAAACGAUGCUCGCUAGGUGUGACACAGGCUACGAGCCUGUGUUGUGCCGUAGGGAAGCCGAGAAGCGAGCCGCCUGGGAAGUACGUCCGCAAGGAUGAAACUUAAAGGAAUUGGCGGGGGAGCACUACAACCGGAGGAGCCUGCGGUUUAAUUGGACUCAACGCCGGACAUCUCACCAGCUCCGACUAUAGUAAUGACGGUCAGGUUGAUGACCUUACCACGACGCUAUAGAGAGGAGGUGCAUGGCCGCCGUCAGCUCGUACCGUGAGGCGUCCUGUUAAGUCAGGCAACGAGCGAGACCCGCACUUCUAAUUGCCAGCAGCAGUUUCGACUGGCUGGGUACAUUAGAAGGACUGCCGCUGCUAAAGCGGAGGAAGGAACGGGCAACGGUAGGUCAGUAUGCCCCGAAUGAGCUGGGCUACACGCGGGCUACAAUGGUCGAGACAAUGGGUUGCUAUCUCGAAAGAGAACGCUAAUCUCCUAAACUCGAUCGUAGUCGGAUUGAGGGCUGAAACUCGCCCUCAUGGAGCUGAUCGUAGUAUCGCAUUUCAUAGAGUGCGGUGAAAUACGUCCCUG
rnacentral:rRNA from 1 species